rfam:Cricetulus griseus cell line CHO-K1, whole genome shotgun sequence.
GGGGAUGUGGCUCAGUCGGUAGAGUGCUUGGUUAGCAUGCAGGAGGCCCUGGGUUUGAUCCCCAGAGCACCA